rnacentral:rRNA from 1 species
ACGCCGCGUGAGGGAUGAAGGCCUUCGGAUUGUAAACUCCUGUCGCCCGGGACGAAUGGCUCCGACCUAACACGUCGGAGUCUGACGGUACCCGGUGAGGAAGCCCCGGCUAACUCUGUGCCGGCAGCCGCGGUAAUACUUAGGGGGCGAGCGUUGUUCGGAAUUUACUGGGCGUAAGGGGCGCGUAAACCCCCCUGCUUAGUCCAACGUGAAUCCCCCGGCCUCAACCCGGGAACUGCGUCCGAUACUGGGGGGCUUGAAUCCGGGAGAGGGAUGCUGAAUUCCAGGGUUAGCGGUAGAAUGCGUAAAUAUCUGGAGGAACACCGGUGGCGAAGGCGGCAUCUUGGACCGGUAUUGACGCUAAGGCGCGAAAGCCCGGGGAGCAAACGGGAUUAAAUACCCCGGUAUUCCUGGCCCUAAACAAUGAAUGCUUGGUGUGGGGGGUAUCGAUCCCUG